AUGGAUUUCGCCGUCUUGAAUUGGAACGUGCGGGGUCUAAAUAACCCGGCGAAGAGGCGGACGGUGCAGCUAUUUGUUGCUGAGCAGAAUUGCAAGAUUGUCUGUCUGCAAGAAACAAAGAUCGGUGACAUGACUAGAAGCCUGGUGCUUGAAGCUUUGGGGCUGCGUUUUGCUGAUAACUUCAUAUCUUUGCUAGCCAAUGGAUCCAGAGGAGGGAUCCUAAUUGCUUGCUGCGAUGAUCAUGAGAUCGCUGUUGUGCCGCUGGCGGCCGGACUGCAUUUCGUGUCAGGAACAGUGAAGAGUAGGACUGAUGGAGUGAGCUGGUCGAUCACUGGAGUUUAUGGUCCGCAAUCAGGGGAGGACAAAAUUCUGUUCAUUGAGGAACUAAAGAUGAUCAAGCAGCACAUGCUACCACGUUGGAUGUGUUGGAAAUAUGCCCUAGAAGCAAUAAUAAAAUGGUUAUUAUUAUAUUUCUUUGUUCAUGAUAAUUGUCUAUUGUUCAUGCUAUAA
rnacentral:rRNA from 1 species